AUUGAACGCUGGCGGCAGGCCGAACACAUGCAAGUCGAGCGGAUGAAGGGAGCUUGCUCCUGGAUUCAGCGGCGGACGGGUGAGUAAUGCCUAGGAAUCUGCCUGGUAGUGGGGGAUAACGUCCGGAAACGGGCGCUAAUACCGCAUACGUCCUGAGGGAGAAAGUGGGGGAUCUUCGGACCUCACGCUAUCAGAUGAGCCUAGGUCGGAUUAGCUAGUUGGUGGGGUAAAGGCCUACCAAGGCGACGAUCCGUAACUGGUCUGAGAGGAUGAUCAGUCACACUGGAACUGAGACACGGUCCAGACUCCUACGGGAGGCAGCAGUGGGGAAUAUUGGACAAUGGGCGAAAGCCUGAUCCAGCCAUGCCGCGUGUGUGAAGAAGGUCUUCGGAUUGUAAAGCACUUUAAGUUGGGAGGAAGGGCAGUAAGUUAAUACCUUGCUGUUUUGACGUUACCAACAGAAUAAGCACCGGCUAACUUCGUG
rnacentral:rRNA from 1 species